rnacentral:rRNA from 1 species
UACGGAGGGUGCGAGCGUUGUCCGGAAUCAUUGGGCGUAAAGGGCGCGUAGGUGGCCCGGUCAGUUCGUGGUGAAAGCGCGGGGCUCAACCCUGCGUCGGCCAUGAAUACUGCCGCGGCUGGAGCACUGUAGAGGCAGGCGGAAUUCCGGGUGUAGCGGUGAAAUGCGUAGAGAUCGGAAAGAACACCAACGGCGAAAGCACUCUGCUGGGCCGACACUGACACUGAGAGACGAAAGCUAGGGGAGCGAAUGGG